UACGGAGGGAGCUAGCGUUGUUCGGAAUUACUGGGCGUAAAGCGCGCGUAGGCGGCUUUGUAAGUUAGAGGUGAAAGCCCGGGGCUCAACCCCGGAACUGCCUUUAAAACUGCAUCGCUUGAAUCCGGGAGAGGUGAGUGGAAUUCCGAGUGUAGAGGUGAAAUUCGUAGAUAUUAGGAAGAACACCGGUGGCGAAGGCGGCCCACUGGAUCGGUACUGACGCUGAGGUGCGAAAGCGUGGGGAGCAAACAGG
rnacentral:rRNA from 1 species